rnacentral:tRNA from 2 species
GCUGCUGUAGCUCAGUCGGUAGAGCGCAUCCUUGGUAAGGAUGAGGUCACCAGUUCAAAUCUGGUCAGCAGCUCCA